rnacentral:rRNA from 1 species
AGAGUUUGAUCCUGGCUCAGAAUCAACGCUGGCGGCGUGCCUAACACAUGCAAGUCGUGCGCGAAAGGGGCUUCGGCCCUGAGUAGAGCGGCAAACGGGUGAGUAACGCGUGGGUAAUCUACCUUCUGGUGGGGAAUAACCCUGGGAAACCGGGGCUAAUACCGCAUAAGGCCGAGAGGCGAAAGGAGCAAUUCGCCGGAAGAGGAGCCCGCGGCUGAUUAGCUAGUUGGUGAGGUAAAGGCUCACCAAGGCAUUGAUCGGUAGCCGGCCUGAGAGGGCACACGGCCACACUGGCACUGAAACACGGGCCAGACUCCUACGGGAGGCAGCAGUGGGGAAUCUUGCACAAUGGGGGAAACCCUGAUGCAGCGACGCCGCGUGAGCGAUGAAGCCCUUCGGGGUGUAAAGCUCUUUCGGCAGGGACGAUAAUGACGGUACCUGAAGAAGAAGCUGCGGCUAACUACGUGCCAGCAGCCGCGGUAAUACGUAGGCAGCGAGCGUUGUUCGGAGUUACUGGGCGUAAAGAGUGCGUAGGCGGUUUUCUAAGUUUGGUGUGAAAUCUCCCGGCUUAACUGGGAGGGUGCGCCGAAAACUGGAAGGCUUGAGUAUGGGAGAGGUAAGCGGAAUUCCUGGUGUAGCGGUGAAAUGCGUAGAUAUCAGGAGGAACACCCUGCGGUGUAGACGGCUUACUGGACCAUAACUGACGCUGA